GCCGGCGUGGCUCAGUAGUUGAGCAUCUACCUAUAAACCAGGAGGUCAUGGUUCGAUUCCAGGUCAUGGCA
rnacentral:tRNA from 1 species